rnacentral:rRNA from 1 species
AGCAGCCGCGGUAAUUCCAGCUCCAAUAGCGUAUAUUAAAGUUGUUGCAGUUAAAAAGCUCGUAGUUGAACUUCGGGGUUCACCCAUUGGUCAGGCUUAAUUGUCUGUACUGGUGAGAUGAGUCUCUACCUUCUGAGGAACUUUCAUGCCAUUUGUUUGGUGUGAUUGGAAAUCAGGACUGUUACUUUGAAAAAAUUAGAGUGUUUAAAGCAGGCUAACGUCUGAAUACAUUAGCAUGGAAUAAUGAAAUAGGACGGAUUGAUUCUAUUUCGUUGGUUUCUAGGGUCACCGUAAUGAUUAAUAGGGAUAGUUGGGGGCAUUAGUAUUCAAUUGUCAGAGGUGAAAUUCUUGGAUUUAUUGAGGACUAACUACUGCGAAAGCAUUUGCCAAGGAUGUUUUCAUUAAUCAAGAACGAAAGUUAGGGGAUCGAAGACGAUCAGAUACCGUCGUAGUCUUAACCAUAAACUAUGCCGACUAGGGAUCGGACGCAGUUAAUUUUAUAAUGACGU